CCCUCAAUUCUUCCCCCUCUUUCCUAAUAUCUAGAUAUCGUGAAUAUGGAUUUGAAAUGCAUAUUCAGCCUAGCAAUCCUUGUUUCCCAGAUAUCGCUUUCGUCGACGCAAAAUGUGAACGUUGUGAUUCAAGGAGCAACAUCAAUUGGUGAAACAGAUGAUAACUUUGUAUGCGCUACAUUGGAUUAGUGGCCUACUGAAAAAUGCAACUACAAUCAAUGUCCUUGGGGAAAGGCUGGACUAUUAAAUUUGGAUUUGAAAAAGAAGGGUCUGAUAAAUGCAAUAAAAGCAUUCAAUCCUUUAAGAAUCAAAUUUGGUGGGUCGUUGCAAGAUCAAGUGGUGUACGGAGUAGGAGGAGUUAAGAAUUGCCCCAAUUUCAUGAAAAAUGAAGAUAGUUUAUUCGGAUUCUCUUAGGGCUGCCUUCCCAUGGAAAGAUGGGACGAACUCAAUAAAAUUUUCAAUCA